GGAGACGUGUCCGAACUGGCUAAGGGGCCGGUCUUGAAAACCGGUGGAGCCAUGCUCCGUGUGGGUUCGAAUCCCACCGUCUCCGCCA
rnacentral:tRNA from 2 species